GCCUGCUUAGCCCAGAGGCUAGAAUACCGCACUUGUAAUAUGAUGGUCAUCGGUUCGACUCCGAUAGCUGGCU
rnacentral:tRNA from 16 species